ACAGGUCUUGAAGUCAUCCGGAUUCUUCUUGCAGAGACAGGUGAUGAGGCUGACAGCAGCUGUGACCACUCCCUGCAAGGAGCUCAGGCAUGAGGGACUUCAUGCUGGGUGUCACUGGGAAAGCCCUGACAUCAGGGGUCUCACUGUGAAGCCUAGGCUGGCCUCAGACUUGUCACAGUUCUCCUACUUCCUACAAGCCUCACUACACUCAGAUCAGCCACAUUGUCAAGAAUACCAGCAGCACCUCGUCUACACUGCCAGAAAUAGAAAUCUCACCUCUGGGCACAGCAGCCGCGGUGAUUUUUCUAAAAGACAACAUUGCUCCUAUUAUUCAACUGCCUGACAGACACCAGUCACCCCAACUUCUACAGGAAGCAGAGGCAGACUUCCCAGAGUCUCUCCCAUGCUUACUAUCCUCCAUCUACAGAGAAUCUCUGGUGGACCACACACCUACACCCAGAGCCUUGGCACCUACUGGGCCUUUUGCAGAAGGCACCCAUAUCCUCAAGUGAUCACUGACUCCUAACUGUUCUAGAACAUUAUCCAUCACCUCCUGGAGAAUCCCUUCUGACUUGUUAAUAAAAGCCUUUUUUCA